UCAAACAAGAAAAGGGUUCGAGCAAUGUCUGCUACGGUUCUCAAUGAUUCAAUGGCAAAGUCCACUUCAGAAUCUCAAUCAACUACUAUUAAGAUCAGUACCGCAUAGGUGGAAGUUGAGUUCUCCAAAUGCAAAUGCUACGGAUUGACAGAGGAAUGCACACCCGAUUACAUAUCUAGAUUUUGUGAGAGGUACCAAGGACGAUGGAUUUAUGGUUUGUGUGCCGAAGUUGUGAAGGACGAGAUUUUCAUAUCAGAUAGGCUCAUCAACUCCUAAGAAGCCUUGAAUCGACACAUGAAUUUCUGCAAGAAGUUCAUAUAUUCGAGCCCUCCGACUAAUCCCACCAAGCAUCUGAUUUCCACAAUGAAGC